rfam:Plesiomonas shigelloides 302-73 genomic scaffold scaffold00012, whole genome shotgun sequence.
AAUGGCUCUGUUGUUAAGAGAGUUAUUAAUAAAGCGUAAAGUAAAAGAAAAACCCUCAGAAUUCCCGCGUAACCGUUGUUAUUCCUUAGUGUUUCCCUUAGCUUCUUGCCUCAUAAAUAAUUCGUUUCCUCAGCGCAACACAAUAAUUUAAUUAAGAAAAGGGACGUAUUAUGUCUACUAAAAGCACUGGUUCAGUAAAAUGGUUUAACGAAGAUAAAGGUUUUGGCUUUAUUGCUCAAGACAACGGCGGCGCAGAUGUAUUUGUACAUUUCCGUGCCAUUAUCUCUGAAGGUUUCAAAACCUUGAAAGAAGGCCAAAAGGUUUCUUUUGAUGUUGAGCAAGGUGCCAAAGGCCCACAAGCGUCUAACGUUACCGCGCUGUAAGCCUCUCUGAUACCAGAAAACGGGCGCCAACCGCCCGUUUUCCUUG